GGUGGGACCUUGAUCAUAAAAAUAUCGGCCUCCUCCUCUCAUCGCUCGAUUCCUCCUCUCCUCCCUGCCGCCGCCGCCUCCUCUUCUUCCCUAGACCAUGCCUCCUCCCCGCUCCUCGUUCUGCCGCCUCCUGCUGCUCCCGCACGGCAGCCGUCUUCCAUCCGGCGUAUCGCCUAGCGGAGCAAAUGGCGGAUCUGCCACCUCUCUCCUCGCCGGUAAGGAGAAGCCAGACUGGUGCUGGGGAGAGCCGGAGACGGGGACAAGAAGCAGUAGCUAGUGGUCGGCUCCUGCUGUGGUGGAGUGGAGCUGCAGGGAGAGGAAGGAGGCCGGCGACAGGGGAAAAGAACAUGUCGGCUCUGGUUCGUCAUGGAGAACACAACUGCUCGCCCUCCUCUGCCUCUUCUUCUCUGGUCCAUGGAUUCGUUGUGGGUCUCUAUUGGCGGUGUUGGGGAUUGUAAGGCUUGUUCCAUCUGGUUUUAGGAGCGUGUGUUGCUCCUAUAAAAUUUUCUCAGGUUUGGCAGCAAAUCAACUACUCUGAAUGAGGCCAUCCACAGCUUCUCACGAGUAACAUGCUUACGCGAACACGUUGAUCCAAGGGUUAUGUUUUGUGUAUUCUAUUUUCGUGGGCUAUGCUAUGUGUUUCAGUGCCAAUGACUCAACAAUCAUUUAUCAAUCAGUGUGUAUUUUGUUCUCAUCAGCAAUGAUGCAUAUACAUGUGGAACUUUGGGGUGUAAUAUUUAUUUCACUGCUUCAUGGUUCAUUGUAGCAAUGCUGGCUGUCAGGGAAGAUGCUGUUAAGCACAAAGUCGUUUCCUUGUCCUAUCUGGUGCAUGUUUGGUUUGGUUACCCUUUGUAUACCAGUCAUUUGAGAACGAUGCAAGAUUUGUUCUUACAUAAAUAGACAUCACAAGUGGAUUUCCAUUUACCUGAACACUUGCAGAAUUCAGUGCUCGGAGAAGUCUGCUACGCUAACUUGUGGGUUCAGAUCCUUAUUAUCAGAUCGUGUCACUCUUUCGACUCCAAAACCGAUGAGCUCUGGAAAACGCUUCAUCGCCUUAUGGCAUCAAGAUGCAGCUGCUCAUAUGAUUUCACAGUUUGGCAAGUACCAUAGAAUUUGUGGUUGACUGUUUACAUCCAAAAUCAUCGUGUUAGUACUUAGUACUGAAGCUAAUUUCUACAUUGUUAAUAGAGUUGCCUUGAUGUUUCCCGUACUAGAAAGAUCUAUCUAUGAUCUAUUUUCUAACCAUCUAAGACUGUAGUCAUAUAUACUCCAUACAGUAACAAUAUAUGUUGUUGUCAGUUUGCUGAUUAUUUAUCUCUCCCAGCUUGUUUUUAUGUCUAGUAAGAUUGCAUAAGAAGCUGACAUGUAAAUGUAGAUCAUGCAGCUUUAUGGACAUGCAUCAGAUUCAUAUUAUAAUAAAGUUUUGCCUUCAUACUAUAAAUCCAUUCAUUGGAGCUAUAUAUCAUAUACAGUACCAUUUAGGCUGGUUCAUGAGUAAAAUGUUGUUUUUAAUAAAUUUAAGGUUGUUCCUUGUUUGCUUUUUGUUUGCUAGCACUAAUGCUGAUGUAAGAAAACAAAGUAUAGUUCAUAUUUUAAAUCAUUUAUGUCCAUAUCGUCUGAUGCUAAUGUAUGAACUUUAUAUGGUUUGGUUUAAACGAUAUCAAUAAAAGAAUAUACAUUGUGGAAAUUAAAUAAAUCCUACAAAUCGAAUUAGGAAAUUAUUGUUACUGGCAUUCGACGAGGAAAAGGAGACCCCGGAGGAAGUUACUGCGUCGUUGUGGUGGCUCGAUCGAUGCGGAUUUUGAUGUUCAUUGUUUUGAUCUCGACAUGGAUUGGGUAGUGGAGAAUUGGUACUGGGGAUAGAGAAAUUGUUAUUUGUGUUGCUGAUUUUUUAUUUGGGCAUGGAUGUGAUCAAGUCUCGAGACUCAUGAUUCUUUUUCAGUGUCAAUCAAUGGUUUCCUUAAUUGCAAGACAGCGACUCUCCAUGUUAUUGAUCUGGUACAAUGUUGUUGUGCGUGAGGACGACUCAGGGAAAGGUGCAACAAGGCAGUGCUCGCGUUGCAGUGGACUGGAGUCCGCCAUCACCACCGACCAUUGCUCGCCGAUCGUCGUCCCUCAUCCCCCGUCUAGAUGUUUGCGGAUCAGGCGAAGAAGAGAGGUAGGAUCAAGGUUUACGAGUCGACAAGUCGACGAGUCGUUCCGAGGUGUUUGCUAGAGAAAAUCAAAAGAAGCAACCUGAAUGUCAAUGGGGUGAUGGCAGUGACAUAUUUAACAUGAGGUGUUGCAUCUAGGUUCUACAGGAUUCGCUGAUGGAUGUGUGAAUGUGAGCAAUCAGGAUAUAAAUUUGUUCCAACAACAAGACAUGCUGAUUAGAUUCAGGAAUAUGUUGGUACGUGUCAGCUUUGCAGCUUCAAGUUGUAGGACUAAUAUUUGGCACCUGACAUGAGGUUGAGAGAUACCAUGAUUUAAUUACAUAUGACAUGCCUUGUGCAGGGCACAUAAAAUAUAUCUGAUAUCUCUUUUUUGUUAUGUAUAUUUUUGUCCUUUCUACCCUAAUUCAGUAGCAUCAUUUUUUUAUGUUACUUCUUUAUAUGGUUGUUGCUUUCACUAUCUGAAAUAUAUGUGAAAUGAAUUUGAGUUAGCUUACUUUA